rnacentral:rRNA from 1 species
GAUGAACGCUGGCGGCGUGCCUAAUACAUGCAAGUCGGACGGGGAGUGUUGCUUCGGUAAUACUUCCAGUGGCGAACGGGUGAGUAACGCGUUGGUGACCUGCCCCGAAGCGGGGGAUAACAGUUCGAAAGGACUGCUAAUACCCCAUGAAGUCCUGCGGGUUAGAGGCUGCGGGAAAAAAGGAGCGAUCCGCUUUGGGAGGGGCCUGCGUCCCAUCAGCUAGUUGGUAGGGUAAAGGCCUACCAAGGCGACGACGGGUGGGGGACCUGAGGGGGUGACCCCCCACACUGGCACUGAAACACGGGCCAGAUACCUACGGGUGGCAGCAGUAGGGAAUAUUGCACAAUGGGCGCAAGCCUGAUGCAGCAACGCCGCGUGCCCGAUGAAGGCCUUCGGGUUGUAAAGGGCUUUUCUGGAGGAAGAGCGAGAACGGUACUCCAGGAAUAAGGAUCGGCUAACUACGUGCCAGCAGCCGCGGUAAAAC